rnacentral:rRNA from 1 species
UACGGAGGAUCCAAGCGUUUAUCCGGAAUCAUUGGGUUUAAAGGGUCCGUAGGCGGCCUUAUAAGUCAGUGGUGAAAUCUCCCGGCUCAACCGGGAAAUGGCCAUUGAUACUGUAGGGCUUGAAUUAUUAGGAAGUAACUAGAAUAUGUAGUGUAGCGGUGAAAUGCUUAGAUAUUACAUGGAAUACCAAUUGCGAAGGCAGGUUACUACUAAUGGAUUGACGCUGAUGGACGAAAGCGUGGGUAGCGAACAGG